GAUUGUAAGUGUGGUAUGUGAAUAUAUUGUAAAACAGAGAGGGGGCUGCUUCCCAUGGCUUGCAAUCGUAUAUAUGUAUUCUCAAGAUUGUAGAUUUAAAGAAACCAGCAACAGGAGAGGAGGAGGUUUAAUAAAAAUAAUUGUGUGUUUCUGAUAACACUUCUGUUUGUUUAUUCUUUUUGUUAAUACAAGAAGCACCUUGUACAGGUUUGAUCCUCUCUUGUUUCCACGUGUUCCACUGUACCUGUGGAUUGUAUUUUCUUGUACAGGUUUGAUCCUCUCUUGUUUCCACGUGUUCCACUGUACCUGUGGAUUGUAUUUUCCUCACUCUCUCUUAAAGGGAAUAUGCAUAUUGUAAAGUCCCAGAAGGCAGCGUGAUUUCUGUACAAUAACCCCAGCAGGGUUAGAAUCAAUUCCUCGUUCUUUUUUAAAAUCGAUUCCCUUUUAAUCAAUUCCAACACAGCCUUGAUCACAAUUGCAAUUGGCAGUACUGUGUUAAAACAAGUUACUUCAGUUGAAGUCACUGUUAGUCAAUUAAACUGUCUUCAGAUGAAGUUAGGACUUGCCCUGCCCCUCUGUAUUGUAAUCCCUGUACAUGCUUUAUGUAUUUACACAUUGCAGGAUUGAAAGAGAUUUGCUUCUGGCUUGUAAGUAAAUAAAGGAUUCGCUGUACAGCU